CACGCAGGAGAUCCAGACGGCGUGAAGCGUGGUUUUCUUUUUCUUCCCUGAAUCGUGCACGGACACGAUGCUUCCUCGCGCACGGGCACGAUGCUUCCUCGGGAAAACACGUCCAACGCGUCCAUCUCAAGAACGCCAUUUCCCCCUUUUUGAAGUUCUCCCCAGAACUUUAUCAGCAGGCGGCGGUGUGUUGCUUGCCAACGCAGAUUGUGAUCUGUGUGAUGUGUGUUUCUUCUUUCAACAUGUGAAGGAAGCCUUAUUGCUUUUUCCUUGCUGCUGUUUGGCUUUUAAUAUCACCGCCUCAAAUGCAGUCAGAAAGGCCUCAAGAACAAUUAAUAUCCAGUCUGCCUUCUUCUAUGUUAAUUUUUGCAACUCUAUUUUUUAAUGUCACAUUUCUUUUUUAUAUUUAGUAUUUAUGUUUAACUGUGCCAACAUGAAUUGUAAUUGAAUAAAGGUUGUGUAUCUCAUGCUUAGUGGAUCAUUCAAACAUGUCCAAAUAUUUACAAGAGAAUUGAUUUUAUUAAUAUCUCUCAAUCAGCCCUAAUGUGCACGGACACUUUCCCUCAGUCAGUUGGUAAAUCCUCAUUCCUGUUUCCUGUUUUAUAAAUAACAGACAGAAAAUUAGAAAAUGAGCAAAGCAGGAAAAUUCUCCAGAAUUUGGUCCCAAGUGGCCCAAAAUGUUCCUGCUUUAAUAUACUUUUCCUUUUAAAUAAUAAUGCUUUUCAAACGCCUCACAGCCUGUAGGACAGUGACUAUUCAUAACCUUUCGUUCCCUCCAUUUAGCACAUGGUUAAACCUGACUGGGAUUUAGCGUGUGCACGUGCCGCUUGCAAAGGACACGAAGCCGUUGAAUGGGAGCAAACGAUGGAGGUUUUCCCCAAAUCUUUAUUUUUCCUAAACACAUCAGGGAAUAUCUAACGCUGUACAUGUGUGCAGGGACAUUGUCUCUGCUGCAGCCAUUGAGAUGGAUGCAUUUUCCCUUGUAGUCAGCGCGUGGUAAUAAAACAAAGUGUCCCGGAUCUCCUCCCCCCUCUGCAUUUAGUGCAGGCACCAUUAUGUAAACGGGUGAGUACAAUAUCACAAAAAAUGUCCCACAUACUUUAUCGCCCGUUGGUCUCCAGCGGCUCCGUCGUAUCGCCGCGGCUCCGGCGGCUGGAAGCAGGUGAGAAGCUGCGGCUGCAAAUGGAGCUCUAAUGUGUCGAGUGAGUUACUGAGUCGGGCCCGAACAGACCACUUAGUUUGUGUGAAAAUCCAUCGAGAGUGACGGUGAGUAACAGGAGACGCUUCCACGCCGUUUAUUCAUGUUGCCUCUUCAGCAUGCAGCUGGUGGACCAUUUGAGGAAAUAUUGUAAAUAUCCUACACCAUCUGUCCGUGUGCAGCCUUGUGAAUUAGUAUUUUUUUUUAUUGUCUGCUGAAUCAUUGUGGGCUGUUUUGCAUCAUUCCUGAAAAUCUGAAUUAAAUAGACCGGAAAGAGCCACAGGAGAUUUUCUGGUAUAAGAAGGGAAAGCUGGUGAAUUAGUGUCAAGAUGCUAAGCUAACGGCUAAAAUGGUACAUGCUAUUUACUCAAAUCAUGCCUAGUCGUAUGUUAUCGAUAAUAAGAAAGAGAUAAAAGUGUCGCUUCGACUCUCGUUCUAUCAAACCUGGAUCAGAUAUUCCGCUCACAUCCUGAAACACUCCGGAGCCGUUCAAUAAAAUGUGUCGCCAGCUCGGAUGAUCGCUCGGCCCUCGGUCCUCCGUGCUGUUUGUCAUUAAAGACGGCAGCUUGAUAUUCAAUCAAAGCGCAGAAAUGUCAGCUUCACCUCAAAAUGAAACUGUCAAAUGUUGUUUGUUGAUACAAAAUGAUAAAGCUGCCAGAGGAAAAACGUCUAACAACUCUCUCUCUCUCAUUUCCUAACUUGACUUGGUCAUUCAGGAGCGGUUUGAACCCCCUCAGUGAGUUACUCCAAAGAAAUAAAGGAAACAAAUCAGCCUUAGAUUCGCCUUUUUAAUCGUGACCUUCCCUUUUUGUGUUUUGGUCUCCUUUGAGAACGCCGUCCCCCUGAGAUGUUUCCUCCUCCUAAAAGCAGCCCCCUUUGUCUCCUUUCAGUCUAAUCCUCAAAGUGAGUUCUUAUGAAAGCCAAAGCAAUCACAUUCUCUCUCUUUCUCUGUACUAUUAAUACAUAUCUCAAGGACCGAAUCAUUAAACGCCGCGAGGCUGCGCAGUUUAAAUACCCCCCCCGCACCCCCCUCCCCCGGUAGCUCUGCGUGGGCGCCGUUGAUUGAGCGCCUUUGAGCCGCUACACCGGAAGUUCAGCCCCCCCCCCCGAAGAAACAGAAGAAAAAGCAACGUUCUGCUCGCUACGCAAAGUCCGCCCGGCCUCCUUCGCACACUACGAAUGCGCUUUUUUCCCUCAGACGAAAAGCGCGUCACCACGAGGCUCUUUACAAACUCCACCGGGCGGAUUGACUUGAGCUGAAGACCACGUCCCCCCCCCCCCCGGCCCGUCGGACAGACUUUGCCAUCUCGCAUCAAGUCAACGAAAUCCGGUUUGUUGGAGGCAGUAAAAUAAUUAUUACUCAUUACUUUCCACGUCUGAGGCGCAGCGGAAAACGCGUCUGCACAGGUUGAGUUACAACCAGAACCGGCGGGCGGCGGAGUGCAGCAGGUUCUGUAGGAAGAUAAGACAAUAUCAGCAGACGAAACAACACACACACACACACACACACAGCAUGAAAUUCUAAUGAAAGGGAAGAGGACGGUUUCAGAUGUGUGUCGAAUACAAUAAGGUCACAUUAUGCUCGUAGCUGCUUGAGUCAUCGUGCAGGAAUAGGUGCAUCAAGCCAAUCCAAUCAGCGGCAACAAGAAAAUGACACGGCGCAGCGAAGCGUGAGGAAGAAUUCCAUCUGUGGUUUUGCGUGGAAUGGAGUACAGACGCGGUUUAACGGACGUUUGUGUGGCGAAAGACUAAAGAAAGAGAAGAAGGCGUUUGUUGGUUUUGACGGCGAAUGCACAAAUGCUGCUCGUUUGGCCUGAGGGACACUUGUUUGUUUAGCAGGUGCCUCUCGAGGGUUUCCCAGAGAGCG
ensembl:lncRNA